AGUGAACGCUGGCGGUAGGCCUAACACAUGCAAGUCGAACGGCAGCACAGUAAGAGCUUGCUCUUACGGGUGGCGAGUGGCGGACGGGUGAGGAAUACAUCGGAAUCUACUUUUUCGUGGGGGAUAACGUAGGGAAACUUACGCUAAUACCGCAUACGACCUACGGGUGAAAGCAGGGGAUCUUCGGACCUUGCGCGAUUGAAUGAGCCGAUGUCGGAUUAGCUAGUUGGCGGGGUAAAGGCCCACCAAGGCGACGCUCCGUAGCUGGUCUGAGAGGGUGAGCGGCCACACUGGAACUGAGACACGGUCCAGACUCCUACGGGAGGCAGCAGUGGGGAAUAUUGGACAAUGGGCGCAAGCCUGAUCCAGCCAUACCGCGUGUGUGAAGAAGGCCUUCGGGUUGUAAAGCCCUUUUGUUGGGAAAGAAAAGCAGCAGAUUAAUACCCCGCUGUUCUGACGGUACCCAAAGAAUAAGCACCGGCUAACUUCGUG
rnacentral:rRNA from 1 species